rnacentral:lncRNA from 1 species
CUACAUUUAAAGUUAUAGGAUUAACUGAAACAUGGCUAAAUGAUUAUAAUGAUGAUAGUUACAAACUACCGAAAUAUGAGUACAUCGGUUCAAACAGGACAAAUAAGAAAGGUGGGGGUGUUGGUAUAUAUGUUUCAAAACAACUGCAAUAUAAUAUUCGUAAUGACCUUAAAACAGAUAUAGAAGAUAUAAUUGAAACUAUUUUCAUUGAAAUAAGUAUAUCUACGGGCAAAAAUAUAAUUGUUGGAGUAAUUUACAGACCACCAAAUAAUAAAGUGGAAAUAUUUCAAAAUGCUGUCGAUGCGAUAAUAGGAAAAAUUGACAAAGAAAAUAAAGUCUGCUACAUCAUGGGUGAUUUUAACAUUGAUUUGCUUAAAUCCGAGUCUUGUGAUUAUGCGAAUCGAUUUACUGAGCAGUUUUUUACCUCUUCUUUUAUUCCCCUUACAACAAAGCCAACAAGAAUAACUUCUCAUAGUGCAACAUUAAUUGACAACAUCUUUACCAACAAUAUUGAUAAAAUUGAUCAAAGCUUUAACGGAAUUAUCUUUAGUGAUAUAUCAGACCAUUUACCUAUUGUUCACAUGUGUAACAUGGAUAAUAAUAACGAGUGUGAAAAGCAAACAACCAAUGAACCAAAUUAUACAAGAAUUUUUAACAAAAAAAAUAUUAACUGUUUCACUGAUGAAAUUAAAAACGUAUCUUGGAGCAAUGUACUUACUAAUGCAAAUCCUGAAAUUGCCUUCAAUGAAUUUUCUGAUUCAUUUAGAAAAAUUUACGAAACAAAUUUUCCCUUAACAAAAAUAUCGAGUAAAAGUAAUAUAAUCAAAAUCAAAAGUCCGUGGAUGACAAAUUGCAUGCUAAAUUCAAUAAAACAAAAAAACAAACUUUACAAAACCUAUUUGACAAAACCAUGCAAAAAGAAUGAAAUAAAAUACAAAAAAUACAAAAACAAACUAAACCAUACAAUUAAAAUUUCGAAAAAGAUGUAUUAUGAGGAACAACUAAUAAAGUAUAAACACAGCACAAAGAUGGUGUGGAAAACUCUAAAUGAAAUUCUUAACAAAAAAGCAAAAAAUAAAGAAUUACCUAGAACAUUUUUUGAUACUAGCACUUCUAAUACAAUUAAAAAUCCAGUAACUAUAGCUAAUAAAUUUAAUGAUUAUUUUACCAAUAUUGGACCAAAUUUGGCCAGGAAUAUAAAAAACAGCUCAGAAACAAAUUUUAAGAAAUAUCUUACUGGUAACUACAAAAAUAGCAUGUUCCUAGCACCAAUCACUGAAUUAGAACUAGAAACUGUACUUAAAAACAUGGAUUCUAACAAAAGUCCAGGAUAUGAUAACUUUAGUAAUAAGAUAAUAAAAUUAUCUGCAACAGAAAUUGCCAAACCAUUAACACACAUAUUUAAUUUAACAUUCGAGAAUGGGAUUAUUCCUGAAAAAUUGAAGCUUGCAAUAGUAACACCAAUCUUCAAAGCAAAUGAAAAUAAUAAAUUUGAAAAUUACAGACCAAUUUCAGUUCUCUCUUGCUUUUCUAAAUUACUUGAAAAACUCAUGUACAACAG